UACGGAGGGGGAGCUAGCGUUGUUCGGAAUUACUGGGCGUAAAGCGCGCGUAGGCGGCUUUGUAAGUUAGAGGUGAAAGCCCGGAGCUCAACUCCGGAAUUGCCUUUAAGACUGCAUCGCUAGAAUCAUGGAGAGGUUAGUGGAAUUCCGAGUGUAGAGGUGAAAUUCGUAGAUAUUCGGAAGAACACCAGUGGCGAAGGCGGCUCACUGGACCGGUAUUGACGCUGAGGUGCGAAAGCGUGGGGAGCAAACAGG
rnacentral:rRNA from 1 species